AGCUUGUUGGUGAGGUAAUGGCUCACCAAGGCGUCGACGGGUAGCCGGCCUGAGAGGGUGACCGGCCACACUGGGACUGAGACACGGCCCAGACUCCUACGGGAGGCAGCAGUGGGGAAUAUUGCACAAUGGGCGAAAGCCUGAUGCAGCAACGCCGCGUGAGGGAUGACGGCCUUCGGGUUGUAAACCUCUUUUAGCAAGGAAGAAGCGAAAGUGACGGUACUUGCAGAAAAAGCGCCGGCUAACUACGUGCCAGCAGCCGCGGUAAUACGUAGGGCGCAAGCGUUAUCCGGAAUUAUUGGGCGUAAAGAGCUCGUAGGCGGUUUGUCGCGUCUGCUGUGAAAUCCCGAGGCUCAACCUCGGGUCUGCAGUGGGUACGGGCAGACUAGAGUGCGGUAGGGGAGAUUGGAAUUCCUGGUGUAGCGGUGGAAUGCGCAGAUAUCAGGAGGAACACCGAUGGCGAAGGCAGAUCUCUGGGCCGUAACUGACGCUGAGGAGCGAAAGGGUGGGGAGCAAACAGGCUUAGAUACCCCGGUAGUCCACCCCGUAAACGUUGGGAACUAGUUGUGGGGACUAUUCCACGGUUUCCGUGACGCAGCUAACGCAUUAAGUUCCCCGCCUGGGGAGUACGGAAUCUCUAGAGGAUC
rnacentral:rRNA from 1 species